CCCAAUCUUUCCUUCAAAUAAAACCAGUGCCCGCUUGCAAUUUUCACUUAGUUUGAGUCUGAACGGCGACUGCGCCGGCGUGUCCGUGUGUGUGCGUGAGUGUGUGUGUGUAUGUGUGUAUGCGCGUGCGUGAGUAAGAAGCGUAUGCACAAUAAGAUCGCGAUACGAAUCACUUGAAACUAAAACUGCAAUUGCAAUCGAUAAACAAUAAUCGGUGAACGCGCGCGCCAAACUAAUUAUUUGUAGAAUUCGUCCUAUCGAUUUGUAAGCUUCUUUGUUGUUGCUUUCUUUUGCGCGUGUGCUGCGCAUGCGCAACAAUAACAAAAGCUUAAGAAAGAACGGAAACUCGAAACGAAAACCGAAACGGAAACUGAAGCUGAAGCUGAAAAUAAAACUAAUCAAAAUCUAAAAUCGCUUAGUCAUUGCCGGCGCAUAUAUUGUUGUUGUUAUUUAGUGUGUGUGUGUGUUUUUUUUUACAAUUUUUUUUUGUGACUGUGUUUUACUGUGCAACUCUGACGACAACAUACAACACUUACCUGACAUCAUCCCAUUAUCUUAACGUCGUAAUCAUAGCACUAUAAUCAUUACCAUCAGCGCCACCAUAAUUAUAAGCAGCAACAGCGUUGUCGGCAUUUGCGGUUGACAUCUUUACGGGCUUCAUUCAGAGCAAAAUAACCAAAACAAACACAAACACAGCAACGGCAACACAGUCGGAUCGGCAACAACGACAACAACAACAACAUCAAGAACCGCGGCAUUAUUUUGCUGUCGCCCAGUUGGAGAUAUAAUGCAAUCGCUGCCAUGUGCCCGCUAAUUGCCAAGCUGCUGAGACGCAUCGAUAACGGCUAAGAGACAGAGAUUCCCCCUAGAAAAAACUCAUUGAGAGAGUCCCAGAGAGAGAGAGAGAGAAAGAUAAGGAAAGAAAGUAAGAGAGAGAGUAAGAAAAUAUAUAGAGGAGAGUCACACACAAAGUAUUUGCAAGCAUGAAGCGCCUCUAUUUGAGCACUCUGCUCUGCCUGUGGUUCAGCUCUGGCGGCAGCCUCAAGCUUUAUGGCCUGCACACCGAUGAGCUGCUCGAGGGCGAGGGACAGCUGGUGGUGCCACGGCGUGUGCACGCCGAUGGUGCAUUCAUGACACACACACUCGACUAUGCCCACGAUCGGGAUCAUCGGCGGCAUCGUCGCAGCACUGACCAUCAGCAUCAGCAGCCGGAGUUGCAUUUCGAGCUGCCGCUGGCCAACGAGACGUUGCAUCUGGAGCUGACGCCAAAUAGCUAUUUCCUGGCGCCGCAUCUGAUUGUGGAGCGUCAUCGUCGCGAUCUGAGAACUCGUGCGCCUCCAGAGGCGCAUCAGCUCAAUUGCCAUUUCCAUGGCAAGGUGCGUGGCCAGCCGUCGGCCAAUGUCGCCAUAUCCACCUGCUCCGGUCUGGUGGGGCAUGUGAAGACGGCCAGCAAUGAGUAUUAUAUAGAGCCGUCCAAGCAGUAUGCGGCACAUCCUAUCAAUGGGCAUCCACAUGUGGUGUUCCAGCGCUCCUCGGUGAUGCCCAAGCAAAAGGCGACACAACAACGACGUCGCCACAAGCGAAAGCGUAAGGAACAGCGCCGAAAGGGCCACAUCAGCAAUUGUGGCACACGCGAGCCACGACGACGCAUGGAGACGCGUCUCGAGUGGCAGUCGCGUGGCAAGUUUAAGAUACAAGGUGGUCGCAAAGUGCGUCGCCAUCAUCUGCAUCAGCAUCAUCAGCAGCAACAGCAGCAGCAUACGCAACAUCAUCUGCCUGCACGUCAUCAUCAUUACCAUCAACAGCCGCACACAAAGUUUAAGUACGACACACAGCCCGAGGAGCCACAGACGGGGCCACGCAGCAGACGCUCGAUUAGCAGUCCGCGGCAUGUGGAGACACUGAUUGUGGCCGAUGCCACAAUGUCGGCAUUUCACAAGGAUGUCGUCAAAUAUCUGCUGACCAUUAUGAAUAUGGUGUCUGCUCUGUACAAGGAUCCCAGCAUUGGCAAUGCCAUUGAAAUUGUUGUGGUCAAGAUUAUCGAAUUGCAGGAGAACGAUACGGCACCCGAACUAAAUCUAACGCAGAAUGCGCAAAAGAAUCUCGAUCGAUUCUGCAGCUGGCAGCACAAGCAGAACUCGGCCAACGAGAAUGAUCCGAAUCAUCAUGAUGUUGCCAUACUGAUCACGCGCAAAAACAUUUGCGGCAACAAUUGCAUGACUCUGGGACUGGCGAAUGUGGGCGGCAUGUGCAAACCGAGGCAAUCGUGCAGCGUCAACGAGGACAACGGCAUCAUGCUCUCCCACACGAUCACGCACGAAUUGGGGCACAACUUCGGCAUGUUCCACGACACUGCAAAAAUCGGCUGCCAUCCGCGAGUGGGCUCCAUAGUGCACAUCAUGACACCAACCUUUGGGGCGGACACGCUGCAAGUUUGCUGGUCGAACUGCAGUCGCAAGUACAUCACACAUUUUUUGGACCAGGGAUUGGGCGAAUGUCUGGACGAUUCGCCGACCACGAUUGCGGAAUACAAUUAUCCAGAGACGCUGCCGGGUGAGGCAUACAACGCCAAGCGGCAGUGCCGAAUGCAAUUCAACCUAACCACAGAUAGCGAUGUGGGCGCCUGCUCAUCGCCGCAUGAGUUCUGCUCGACGCUGUGGUGUCGCGUCAAUGGCGAAUGUGUGACAAACAUGCGACCCACGGCCCCGGGCACCACGUGUGGCAAGAACAAAUGGUGCCAGAAUGGCAAAUGUGUGCGCAUGGAGGAGCUGACGCCCAUCAACGGGGGCUGGGGCAAUUGGAGCGAGUGGAGCGAAUGUUCGCGCAGCUGCGGCGGUGGCGUCUCCACGCAGCAGCGCGAAUGCGAUUCACCAUUGCCCGCCAAUGGCGGCGUCUUCUGCAUUGGCGAGCGCAAGCGCUACAAGAUCUGUCGCAAGCGGCCGUGUCCCGAACACGAGCCCAGCUUCCGGGCCCAGCAGUGUGCGCGAUACGACAAUGUCAGCUAUCAGGGUGCCACCUACAAGUGGCUGCCCUUCUUCGAUAAGAACAAUCCCUGUCGACUGUUCUGCAGCGAUGUGGAUGACACAAUCAUCGCCAACUGGGGCGAAACGGUGCUCGAUGGCACUCCUUGCACGCUGGGCACGAAUAACAUGUGCAUCGAUGGCAUCUGCAAGAAAGUUGGUUGCGAUUGGAUCGUUGACUCGGACAUGCAGGACGAUCGUUGCGGUGUCUGUGGCGGUGCUGGUGAUCAAUGCAAGCCCAUAAAGGAAACCUUCAUCGAACCCUUCAAUGUCAGUGACGGUGUCUACGUUGAUAUUGUCAGCAUCCCAGCGCGUGCUCGUCACAUACUCAUCCGUGAGUUGGGUAAUUCACCGCAUUUCCUUGCCAUCGGACGGGUUGGAUCGGGUGCGUUCUAUUUGAACGGCGACAGCUUGAUCUCGAUGCCAGGGGAACUGGAAAUUGCCGGCGUCGAGAGUCUCUACGAUCGCCAGGAUGAACAGGAGACUAUCAAAAUACCUCAGCCCAUACAGCAUUCCAUAGUGCUAUACGCGAUCGUGCGCGGCAAUGAGAGCAAUCCGGGCAUCUACUAUGAGUUCACAUUGCCCGCCCUGAAUGUGAGCGCUGGGCGACAGCAUCAGUGGCGUCUCAGCAACUGGACAGCCUGCUCCGUCAGCUGUGGCGGCGGUGUGCAGCAUCGUGAGCCCAUUUGCCAUGAGAAUGGUAAAGUGCUGUCUGAUAAGUUGCCUUGCUGGACGCAUGCGAAGAACAAACGUCCGUUGCGACAGACACGCGCCUGUGGCGAGCAACAGUGUCCGGCUCACUGGUGGCCCGGACCUUGGCAAUUCUGCCCGGUUACAUGUAGGCAACCGGGUGCUCCGAUGCCUCAGCGACGUCGCUCCGUUGUCUGUCUCGAUCAGCACGAUGUCGUUGUGACGGAUGCCCAAUGCAGCGCGCUGCCUCGGUUGCCCGAAACGGAGCCCUGCGAGGCUACGCUGCCCGAGUGCAGAGCAAAGCCCUGAGGCCAAACAGGAGAUGGAAACUAUUUAUUUGCUACUAAUAAAUCUAAAGCUAAUUUGCAUUGAAACCGGAAAAUUUGACGGCGAACUUUGAGGUCUGCGUGCUGUUGUUGGCUGGCUUCUGGGUCUGCCCGCUGUGAGAGCCACCUUGAGCCUAGGCCAGUUCCACAUUUACUACAUGGUUUGCUUCUAUUUCACCUCAUGUUGGACUGUCUCUUUCGUACUCUCUCUCUCUCUAUCUCUCUUAGUCUUUGUGCGUCUUUCCGGUUUGACUUUUGCCACCGCAGCACAAAUAAAUAAAUCGCAGCUAUCGUGUGUUUGUCGUGUUGAUGGUGACGCACAGGCACAAGCACAACAACACCAACAACAACAGCAACAGAGACGAUAACAACAACAAACAAUAACAUGACUCAGAGACAACAUACCUAGCAUAUUUUUACAUUCUACAUAAUAACUCCUCUGGCAUGCUUCUUCCUUAUGCAUGACAGCAAAAAGGCGAAGUGGGCAACGUGAUCGACGAUUUCGAUACUCUGCCCUCAAAUAAAUAUGAACUAAUUUAAACAUUAUUUCAGAAUAUUACUUUUAUUGAAUAUACACCUAUU